CAAGUAACUUGUUUGAGAAACAGAACUACUGGAGCUGUUGAAAGUUGGGCUUGUAGACAAACCAUUUUUGUCUAUAUUCCCUGAUGAAUUGAUGCUGUUUGUACUUUCUGAAGCCUAAUAACCUGUUUGAAGACCAGAACUGCUAGAGCUACUGAAAGUCGGGCUUGUAGACAAACCAUUGUGGUCUGAAGUCUCUGAUGAAGUGAUGUUUUCUGACAUUUUUGAAGCCUGGUUCAUAAAAGAGUAUGUUUAAAAUUGAUUUGUGAAGUAUUAAUUGUCUUUCAAAAUAAGAGUUACAUAGAUUCUUAUACCUCAUUACUUGUUUGAGAAUCGGAACUGCUGGAGGUGUUGAAUUUUGGGGUUGUAAACAAAGUUUCUUGGUCUGUUGCACCUGAUGAAGUGCUUUCAUUUGUAGGUUGUGACGUC